rnacentral:rRNA from 1 species
UACAGAGGUCUCAAGCGUUGUUCGGAUUCAUUGGGCGUAAAGGGUGCGUAGGCGGCGGGGCAAGUCAGGUGUGAAAUCCCGGAGCUCAACUCCGGAACUGCACUUGAUACUGCCUUGCUAGAGUACUGGAGAGGAGACUGGAAUUUACGGUGUAGCAGUGAAAUGCGUAGAUAUCGUAAGGAAGACCAGUGGCGAAGGCGAAUCUCUGGACAGUUACUGACACUGAGGCACGAAGGCCAGGGGAGCAAACGGG